AACGAACGCUGGCGGCAUGCCUAACACAUGCAAGUCGAACGAGACCUUCGGGUCUAGUGGCACACGGGUGCGUAACGCGUGGGAACCUGCCCUUAGGUUCGGAAUAACUCCCCGAAAGGGGUGCUAAUACCGGAUAAUGUCUUCGGACCAAAGAUUUAUCGCCUUUGGAUGGGCCCGCGUUGGAUUAGCUAGUUGGUAGGGUAAAAGCCUACCAAGGCGACGAUCCAUAGCUGGUCUGAGAGGAUGAUCAGCCACACUGGGACUGAGACACGGCCCAGACUCCUACGGGAGGCAGCAGUGGGGAAUAUUGGACAAUGGGCGAAAGCCUGAUCCAGCAAUGCCGCGUGAGUGAUGAAGGCCUUAGGGUUGUAAAGCUCUUUUACCCGGGAUGAUAAUGACAGUACCGGGAGAAUAAGCUCCGGCGAACUCCGU
rnacentral:rRNA from 1 species